GACGGAGGAUGCAAGCGUUAUCCGGAAUGAUUUGGGCGUAAAGCGUCCGCGGGUGGCAGUUCAAGUCUGCUGUCAAAGACCGGGGCUUAACUUCGGAAAGGCAGUGGAAACUGAACAGCUAGAGUAUGGUAGGGGCAGAGGGAAUUCCUGGUGUAGCGGUGAAAUGCGUAGAGAUCAGGAAGAACAUCGGUGGCGAAGGCGCUCUGCUGGACCAUAACUGACACUCAGGGACGAAAGCUAGGGGAGCGAAUGGG
rnacentral:rRNA from 1 species